rnacentral:misc_RNA from 1 species
UUGGUGUGCCCGUUACCUUUGAGGUUGACACAGGAUCGGCAUCCACGCUGAUGAAUGCCCGCACCUUUGAGGUGGUGAAGACUACAGGCGGCGACGACAGCCUUGAACUUCGGCGAUGCAGCGCCAGGCUUCGGACGUACACGGGAAACGCGUGGAGGAGCAGCUGGACGCAGAGGUCGAGGCUGGGGUCCUCGAGCCAGUGCGCACUGCGGACUGGGCGUGCCAAAUCGUCCCGAUAGUGAAGCCCGACGCGUGAAAUGGAAAAGCUGCUGGCUGGCGUGCCAGGAGUCUUCAUCUUCCUCGACGACAUCCUGGUCUCUGGACGGGCUGAAGACGAGCUCGUGUCCCGUCUGGAGCAAGUGCUGCAACGACUCCAGGACUCCGGACUUCGGGGCGACGCCGCACGCAACGACCGGGGAGUCUCCUGGCAAGCUGCUCAUCGGAUACAAGCCGGUCACCAGGUUCGAUAAACUGAAGCCGGACCUUCAAGGUAACGUGAUCAGGAAACAGGAGAACUUGGUAGAAAGUCACAAAAGAAGGCAUACUCGAGUGAGGCCUGCGUUUGUUGUUGGUCAAACUGUGUGGGCUCGGAAAUUCGGCAGAGAGAAGGCUGUGUGGUGCCCUGCUAUUGUUGUCAAAAAUCGUCAUCCUCUGUACUGGGUCCGGAUGUCCAAUGGGCAGGUACACAAGCGUCACAUCAAUCAAUUGUAC